rnacentral:rRNA from 1 species
AUGGGAAGGGAUCACCUGCAACCAAGAUGGGAAGGUCACCGACGUUUCGCUGGCUUCUCAAGGCCUCGAGGGGUCCAUCUCGCUGUCCCUCGGCAAACUCACCGGACUCUUGCGCCUCAACCUGUCGCGCAACUCCUUGUCCGGCGCCUUCCGCUGGAGUUGGUGUCGUCCGGCAGCAUAAUCGUCCUUGACAUCAACUUCAACCGCCUGACAGGAGCGCUGCAUGAGCUGCCAUCCUCAACCCCUGCGCGGCCUCUGCAGGCACUCAACAUCUCAAGCAACUUAUUCACAGGACAGUUUCCAUCGACCACAUGGAGAGCAAUGGAGAAUUUGGUCGCACUCAAUGCCAGCAACAACAGCUUUACCGGGCAGAUACCAACGAUGCCAUGUGCGAGCUCGCCAUCUUUAGCCGUUCUUGAACUCAAUUUUAACAAAUUCAGUGGAAAUAUCCCUCCAGGGCUCGGCAAUUGCUCCGUGCUGAAGAUGCUCAGCGCUGGCUACAACAACCUCUGUGGGACUCUUCUAGGCGAGCUCUUCAAUGUCACCUUGUUAGAGCACCUCUCUUUGCCUAACAAUUGGUUAGACGGACCUGUCAAUGGCAUCGGCAAGCUCACAAAUCUGGUCACCCUUGAUCUUGGGGGGAAUGGUUUCAGUGGCAACAUUCCAGAGUCUAUAGGUGAUUUGAAGAGAUUGGAGGAGCUGCAUUUGGAACACAACAAUAUGUCAGGGGAGCUGCCAACAGCUCUAAGCAAAUGCACAAAUCUCAUAACAAUUGACCUCAACACCAACCACUUCAGUGGAGAACUUAACAAGGUCAAGUUCGCGAGCCUGUCCAACCUAAGAAAAUUAGAUCUUCUCUUCAACGACUUCACCGGCAUAAUUCCAGAAAGCAUAUACUCCUGCACCAAUCUGACUGCACUACGACUAUCUUACAACCGAUUCCAUGGUAAAUUGUCAGAAAAAAUAGGCAAUCUGAAGUCCCUCUCGUUCCUAUCACUUGCUAACAACUCUCUUACAAAUAUCACAAGAACACUUCAGAUCCUUCAUAGUUCCAAGAGCCUCACUACCCUUUAUAUUGGGUGCAACUUCCUGCAUGAGACCAUGCCAGAAGAUGACAACAUUGGUGGUUUUGAGAAUCUUCAGGUUCUUUCUAUGAGUGAUUGUUCAUUGUCUGGAAAAAUACCUGAUUGGUUAUCAAAGGUCACAAAUUUGGGGAUGCUAUUUUUGCAAAGCAAUCAACUAACUGGACCGGUACCUGACUGGAUCAGCAGCCUGAACUUGCUUUUCCAUCUAGACAUAUCAAACAACAGCUUUACAGGGGAAAUUCCAACUGCCUUAAUGGAGAUGCCAAUGCUGAGAUCAGACAAGACUGCACCAAAGGUCUUCUUUGAGCUGCUUGUUUGGAACGAGAACACAUUUAUGCAGUACCUCAUGCUCAGUGCUUUUCCUAAGGUGCUUAAUCUAGCCAUCAAUAAUUUCACUGGUGUGAUCCCAAAGGAGAUCGGACAGUUAAAAGGACUCAUUUCACUCAACCUGAGCUCUAAUAGAUUAUCUGGAGAGAUGCCAGAGCAGAUAUGCAACCUCACGAACCUGCAGAUUCAAUGUUUCUAA